GACGAACGCUGGCGGCGUGCUUAACACAUGCAAGUCGAACGGAAAGGCCCUGCUUUUGUGGGGUGCUCGAGUGGCGAACGGGUGAGUAACACGUGAGUAACCUGCCCUUGACUUUGGGAUAACUUCAGGAAACUGGGGCUAAUACCGGAUAGGAGCUCCUGCUGCAUGGUGGGGGUUGGAAAGUUUCGGCGGUUGGGGAUGGACUCGCGGCUUAUCAGCUUGUUGGUGGGGUAGUGGCUUACCAAGGCUUUGACGGGUAGCCGGCCUGAGAGGGUGACCGGCCACAUUGGGACUGAGAUACGGCACAGACUCAUACGGGAGGCAGGAGGGGAGAAUAUUGCACAAUGGGCGGGAGCCUGAUGCAGCAGCGCCGCGUGCGGGAUGACGGCCUUCGGGUUGUAAACCGCUUUCGCCUGUGACGAAGCGUGAGUGACGGUAAUGGGUAAAGAAGCACCGGCUAACUACGUG
rnacentral:rRNA from 1 species